GAACCCUUCAUCACUAACUUUCAAAGGGGCAAACAAUACAAAAGCGGAGACCGCAGCAUGACUCAAGCCAUGAUAAAGGACAAGGCAUUGUUGCUCUGCAAAGAAGACGGUUGUUUCCCCCUUUCUGACAUCACAGAACAGUACGUAGCACUCCAGGACAACUUCGACGCAGCCAAGGAAGAUCUCUUCGAACCUGCAAAAUCACAGCACAAGAAAGUGGAUGCCAUCAAGUUGGCUGAGCUGAAGCGAUUGAAGGAAGUGAAGCAAAGCAAGAUCUACAAAAAGCACCGAGCAACCAUCCUUCAGAACACUACAAAGGCCAAGGAAAAGAUGCUGCAACAAGUGCAGAAGCCCUCGCAGAAACCAACUACC
rnacentral:misc_RNA from 1 species